rnacentral:sRNA from 1 species
GCCAUCUGUCUGGCGGGAUGGGCAGGUGCCCCUAACCCAGCCCUUGCUGACAUCUACACGGAACACGCCCAUCAGGUGGUGGUGGCCAGGUAUGCGCCCAGCGGAUUCUACAUUGCCUCCGGAGAUGUGUCUGGGAAGCUGAGGAUCUGGGAUACCACGCAGAAGGAGCACCUGUUGAAGUAUGAGUACCAGCCUUUCGCUGGGAAGAUCAAAGACAUUGCUUGGACUGAAGACAGUAAGAGGAUCGCCGUGGUCGGGGAAGGAAGGGAGAAGU